rnacentral:tRNA from 1 species
GCCUGGGUGACCCAAUCGGUUAAGUGUCUGACUUCGGCUCAGGUCCCGAUCUCACGGUUUGUGAGUUUGAGCCCCACUUCAGGCU